rnacentral:lncRNA from 1 species
AUGGAAAGGAAGACUGUUAUGUCAAGGGUGGGACAACUGCACUCAAACGAUGCCACAUGGAACCUCCCCAACAUAAAGUAUGACAAGUUACAGGUGUGCCAAGGAAAUUGCCCCCCCCAUGGAAUGGAAGCGCUUUGGACGGGUGCAGAGGUGAGUAUUUCUCGGUGCCUUGUGCAUCCAUUGCCAAGAGGAACAAAGAUCCGAAUGCUGCAGGUCGGGAUGAUCAAAACACCACGGCAGAUGAUUCAUGGCAAGCCAAUUUACAGGUUGCAAUAAUAACAGAGCCAUACCCUUCUCAGUAAGGAAGUGCGGAAGCCCUGCCCCAUUCCUCUGGCUGGCUCCUGCUGGCGAGUGGCGUGGAGCAAGGAGAACAGGUGGAGGGAAGGAGCAGUAGGCAAAGAACCGGCUGGGCGAAGCAGCCACGGAGCGGAGCAACAGGAAAGCGGGCCGUGCGAAUGAUGACAGGAAGGCUGAGAAGGACAAUGUCU